rnacentral:rRNA from 1 species
UACGUAGGGUGCAAGCAUUAAUCGGAAUUACUGGGCGUAAAGCGUGCGCAGGCGGUUUUGUAAGUCUGACGUGAAAUCCCCGGGCUCAACCUGGGAAUUGCGUUGGAGACUGCAAGGCUAGAAUCUGGCAGAGGGGGGUAGAAUUCCACGUGUAGCAGUGAAAUGCGUAGAGAUGUGGAGGAACACCGAUGGCGAAGGCAGCCCCCUGGGUCAAGAUUGACGCUCAUGCACGAAAGCGUGGGGAGCAAACAGG